rnacentral:rRNA from 1 species
UAGCAAUAGUUUGAUGGCGACCGGCAAACGGGUGCGGAACACGUACACAACCUUCCUUUAAGUGGGGAAUAGCCCAGAGAAAUUUGGAUUAAUACCCCGUAACACAACGAAGUGGCAUCACUUUGUUGUUAUAGUUUCGGCGCUUAAUGAUGGGUGUGCGUAUGAUUAGAUAGUUGGCGAGGUAACGGCUCACCAAGUCUACGAUCAUUAGCUGAUGUGAGAGCAUGAUCAGCCACACGGGCACUGAGACACGGGCCCGACUCCUACGGGAGGCAGCAGUAAGGAAUAUUGGUCAAUGGACGCAAGUCUGAACCAGCCAUGCCGCGUGAAGGAUUAAGGUCCUCUGGAUUGUAAACUUCUUUUAUAUGGGACGAAAAAAGGUCUUUCUAGACCCCUUGACGGUACCAUAUGAAUAAGCACCGGCUAACUCCGUGCCAGCAGCCGCGGUAAUACGGAGGGCGCAAGCGUUAUCCGGAUUCACUGGGUUUAAAGGGUGCGUAGGCGGGUAGG